AUAUAUGAUAUAUAUAUAAUAAGGCUAAUACUCUUAACCGGGCUUAAACAUUUUGGGUGGUGGUUGUGCCCGGAGAUUAAAAGAGUUAAGCGUGUUAGCACAAGAGUAGUCCUAGGAUAGGUGAUCCUUUGGAAAGUUGGGGUGUUGCAGUUGGUAUUAGAGUCAAUUACCAGCCGGAAAUGUGAGAUGAGUCUCGGCUGAGCCAGGAUUAUACAACGGGGAGAGCAAGGCUUUCAUAUUGUUAACUAUUGUGGGUGGAGCGCAGCUCACUACAAGAUCGGUUUAGGCUAGCGAGACGAGUCUCACAUCGUCUGAUACUUAUAAGUUUAAGCCUUACGAGGACGU
rnacentral:lncRNA from 1 species